GAAUCCUUCCUUCUUUCCUCUCUUUUCACGCGUUCUUCGUUCUUUCGCCUUCUGAUUUUCAGCUUUCCGGUUUCGUUUGAGCUUUCAUCCAAAUAAGGUUCAUGGUUGAAUUAGACUACCAGAUCCCAUCCGCAUUUGAUCCAUUCGCCGAAGCCAAGGAUUCGGAUGCCCCCGGAACCAAAGAGUAUGUUCAUAUUCGCGUCCAACAAAGGAAUGGGAAGAAGUGCUUGACUACAGUCCAAGGUCUGAAGAAAGAGUUUAGCUACGAGAAGAUUCUCAAAGACGUGAAGAAGGAAUUCUGCUGUAAUG
rnacentral:misc_RNA from 1 species